rnacentral:rRNA from 1 species
CUACGGGACGCACCAGUGGGGAAUAUUGCACAAUGGAGGAAACUCUGAUGCAGCAACGCCGCGUGGAGGAUGACACUUUUCGGAGCGUAAACUCCUUUUAUAUAGGAAGAAGAUGACGGUACUAUAUGAAUAAGCGCCGGCUAACUCCGUGCCAGCAGCCGCGGUAAUGCGGAGGGCGCAAGCGUUACUCGGAAUCACUGGGCGUAAAGAGCGUGUAGGCGGAUUAAAAAGUCAGAAGUGAAAUCCUAUAGCUUAACUAUAGAACUGCUUCUGAAACUCUUAAUCUAGAAUAUGGGAGAGGUAGAUGGAAUUUCUGGUGUAGGGGUAAAAUCCGUAGAGAUCAGAAGGAAUACCGAUUGCGAAGGCGAUCUACUAGAACAUUAUUGACGCUGAGACGCGAAAGCGUGGGGAGCAAACAGGAUUAGAUACCCCUGUAGUC